UGAGAGGUCUAUUUGGUCAUUUUCACUUGAGGGACAGUUAAGCGUUAACAGGUGUCUUGUGUUACUUGUUUAACAGACAGACAGCAUCCCCUCCAGUGUUGGCCUACAGGAUGAUGCCAUGGAGGUCGAGCAGUCUGACCAUAGGAAAGGAGACACGAACAGUGAUGACUCUGGAACUAUGGAUAAAAAGUAUCCUUGUCCACCUCCAAAAAGGACAGACACAGGGAAAAUGCAGGUGUCGGCAAAAGAGAGACUUAAAAUCUAUUUCCACGCCAUCCUCUCAAUGGACUUCAAUCUUGACCAGAAUGAGGAUCGCCUUUUCAUAUGGGCAGGGGAGGAAACGGGGAGCUGGGAAUCCAAUGCAGUUGAGCUAACCGUGACAAAGUGGGUUCGCUUCACGUGUGUGUCUACUGUAUGUUCAACCGGAAUUUAGUGGUUUGUCCCAGUUGUGUUGCCCUAAAAAGUAAUCCUAUAAGUAAUUUCAUUCUACAUAAAGAGUGAUGUAACACAUCCUAACGUCAUAACCCUUGUUAUGUUUAAAGAUAUAGUCCAAUCCUGGGACAGGAUGUGAUGUUGAGUGGCAAGAAACUAAAUAGAAGUAGUCAGGUUUCCAAUGACGCAGGUUUAUUCCACACAAGCAAUGUCGGCCCCCCCAAAAAAUAUUUUUGACGUGUAGGGUAGCCUAGUGGUUAAAGCGUUGGACUAGUAACCGGAAGGUUGCAAGUUCAAACCCCCGAGCUGACAAGGUACAAAUCUGUCGUUCUGCCCCUGAACAGGCAGUUAACCCACUGUUCCUAGGCCGUCAUUGAAAAUAAGAAUUUGAUCAACACAAAUUUGAUCUGUUCGACGGUUGGGUUUUUCUUUUAUCUAACUUUCUUUUCAGCGACUAAUUCUGGUGGGGUUUUUUUUUCAAAUAAAUGCUGAUUGACGAAUCAUUUUGAAGGUACAGUGGGGCACGUGAUGUCAUCAUGUAACUAUUAAAACCAUCCGCUCCACAUUACAUUCUAAAGGCCUACUGCUGGCAAAAUCAUUUUAUUUUUUUUAAAUAUAUAUAUUUU
rnacentral:lncRNA from 1 species